ACGCCGUAAGCAUUACGGGUGAUGCACCGGGUUCUUACCCCGGGGAACAGAGUUCAAUUCUCUGACGGCGUAC
rnacentral:tRNA from 1 species